rnacentral:lncRNA from 1 species
CACCAUACAUACAUAUUAAAAUUAAUCAAUGUUUCCAAAAACAAUAAUCAAUAAUAUAUUAAAAUUAAUUAUUCAUGUUAAUAAAACUCACCUCACGUUGGGACUGUUGUAUGUCACCAUGGAGAGGUCUUGCACCCUGCAAGACCCCUGCAAGCUCAGAGGCAGACUCCUUUUUCUCAGUAAAAAUAAUUGUUCGGCCUCCACUGAAGCAGAACCAAAUGUUAAUGAAACAAUUCAAAAGAUUAACUGUGUACCAUAAUUGGAAGUAGAAAUCACAAAUUGAAUAGUAAAAUAUCACCUGCUAUAACAGCGAAUAAUGUCAGGGAUAAGCUGGGCCCUAGCAGAACUAUUACAUGGAAGAACAAUAUGCCUAACAUUGUUGCUAGCCUUCAUUUUCUCAUUCCCAACAAGAUCAGCAGUUUUAGCUGUUUUGUAGAAUUGAUUCAAGCAUGUGAUAAGUUUUCAAACGGUUUGUAGGGGUUAGCCAAAGCUUGGAAAAGAUAGCAACGAAACAAACACUAAGCAAUGAUUAUUUCCUUCAUGGAAGGGGAAGUUGAUGGAUACUAUACACAGGAUAUAUGGUCAAAAGAGCUGGUAGAAAAAGAUUUUUUUUAAAUUCUUGAGAUCCAAAGUUAGUAGCCAACACUUGGUUGUUGCUGUUGAAAUCCUAUGUCAGCAAAUAAUUAAACUUUACCAGUAAUAAAUGCAUCCAACUCUUUUGCUGGUACGUCAAAAACAGCACCAUUUCCAUCCGCAGUGAUAGUAAGACCCUGCACUGUGUUAACCUUCUCCUCGGGCACGAAUCUCCUCAGGAUUCCAAAUGCAAAACUGAGAAUAGCCCAUAAAAGCAUAAGUCAAAUAGCACCAAGCAAAUGAUAAACUCAAACUGAUACUGAAAAGUUAACUACAGCCGAUAAAUAAACAAGACCAGGCAAAGGACACUCAAAAACUGAUACUGAAAAGUUAAAUAUAGCUGAUAAAUAAGCAAGACUACACUAAAUAUUAAUAUCCAAACAACAAGACUUUAAAAUAUAAGCUCCUAGAUAGUAAUAAAAACUAAGAUGCACUUAAUUAAAAAUAGUAAAGUUCUCACGAUGGGGUGAAAAUAGGUUUUCCAAUCUCAAGCUGUAAUGUGACAUAAUUUUCCAUGGAAGUCAGAAGUGAUCUUUUCACUAUCUCAGUAAAACCCUGCAAAUAACAAAAUAUUUUUCAUUUCAUAACAAAUCCUGUACAUGUAAAGAAAUUAACAAUGAUGUAAGAAAUCAAUGCAGAAAUUUGAUAGACCACUUGACUUACAACAGCCUUGGCAAGAGCUUUUGCAAGUAAUUCAACAGCUGAUAAACCACUGUUAUUCAAAAGCCCCUCAGCAGCAGACGUGAAUGCAGGAACCACACUGCAUUUAUGACAUGAGUUAGCAGAGCAUAAGAUAAUGUUAAACUCGAGCAAAAACAAGAGGCAUACCUAUCAGACACUUGCAAAAUCAAUUCAGCAGCUUCCCCACCAACAGCUUUGGCAAUAUCAUCAGACUGAGGAGCCGAUACAUGUUCAAAUUUAACACCUGAUUCUCGCUCUAUUCUAGAUACACUUGACUUUCUGGGAUCAUAAAGCAUUACAGCAAUUCCAGUAUUACCUGAAAAAACCAAACCAAUAUAUAACAGGAAAUUUCAAUAACACAAAAAUUGCACACAAUCUAUAAGCAAAUAACAAGAUUCCAAUAUACCAGCUCUUCCGGUACGUCCAGAACGAUGGAUGUAUGCUUCUACAUCCCGUGGAGGUUCACACUAAAUCAAAUCAAAUUCAGCAAAUCAUGUCAAAAAGCAUAAAGUAACAAUUUACUAUAUUGCACAUGCAAAUCAAGCAUACCUGGAUAAUUAACUGAACAUCAUUGAUAUCGAGACCCCUAGCUGCCACAUUUGUGGCCACCAAUGUGAGGAAUUUUCCAGACCUAAAACCUGACAAAGUCACCUGCAACAAGGGACAGAACACAAUUUAGAGAAUACAUAACAGCAAGAAGGGCACCUGAAAAUUUAUUAAACUCAAAUAGUGAAAAGUCACAAACAUGUGAGUCCACAAGGAUAUAUAAGUUUCAUGACUUGUAACUCUUGCACCAUACAUACAUAUUAAAAUUAAUCAAUGUUUCCAAAAACAAUAAUCAAUAAUAUAUUAAAAUUAAUUAUUCAUGUUAAUAAAACUCACCUCACGUUGGGACUGUUGUAUGUCACCAUGGAGAGGUCUUGCACCCUGCAAGACCCCUGCAAGCUCAGAGGCAGACUCCUUUUUCUCAGUAAAAAUAAUUGUUCGGCCUCCACUGAAGCAGAACCAAAUGUUAAUGAAACAAUUCAAAAGAUUAACUGUGUACCAUAAUUGGAAGUAGAAAUCACAAAUUGAA